GUUGAACACUCUGUAUUUGCUCUUGUGAAGUCUUCUCUUCAUGGUAGACUUGGAUAAUGAUAUGCCUACUUCCUGGAGAGUGUUCUUCACUUGGCUAGAUGUUGUGAAGGGGUUUUCUUUACCACCUUUGUGGAUGUCCAGGCUUUUUGUGUUGCAGUGCUCACCGGUGCAUUCUUUUUUUCUCAGAAUGUACCAAACUGUUGAUUUGGCCACUUCUAAGGUUCUUGCUGUCUUGCUGAUGGAAUUAAAAAUAAAUUGUGUUGACUAAGGAUGGCCAGUUUCACUUGCAUUGAGAGCUCCUUUCACCGCAUUUUAUGUAUUCACAGCUUCCAAAUGCGAAUGCCACACCUGGAAUCAACUCCUUUUACAAGCUGAAUUGAUCAAGAAAUAAUGAAGGAAUAGCCCACACCUGUCCAUGAAACAGCUUUUGAGUCCCUUGUCCAAUUACUUUUGGUCCCUUGAAAAAGAGGGGGCUACAUAUUAAAGAGCUGUAAUUCCUAAACCCUUUUUGGAUGAGAAAUCCAAUUUGGAUGAGAAUACCCUCAAAUGAAAGCUGAUAGACUGCAUGUUAAGCCCAUAUUCAUUAUUUAAUAUUUUGGUAAACAGCCCAAAUUACCAAAAUUGUGUCAGUGUCCAAUUAUUUCCAGAACUUACGGUACUUUUCUUUAUCUUUGCCUUUUUGUGUCAAUGCUAGUCUUUGAUACUGAUGGAAGAUCCAGCCAAUAUGCGAGACAUGCUGUCUACCUGCCAGGAUACCUCCAAUGACUGCCUCAACUACCCCUCGUUGACCCUGUCCCUCCCACCUGUCGCAGAAAUUGAGGACGAGGAGGAUGACAUGGCAAGUUUGUAUGGAUUGGCCACGCCCACCUCCAAGGAACAGAGCUAUUGGAGGGAGUCAGAUGAGUGGAGCCAGUGGCAGGGGGAGUUCAGAGGUCAAAUCCGUGCUCUGCGACACUGGCUGAAGAGCAUGGAGAUGAGGCUGCCUCCUGUGGACUGCACGGCAUCUGAAGGGCCUUCUGCAUGCAUGGCCAAGGGGCCCACUCUCGGCUUUUACCUCACU
rnacentral:lncRNA from 1 species